UGGGGAAUAUUGCACAAUGGGGGAAACCCUGAUGCAGCGACGCCGCGUGAACGAAGAAGGUAUUCGUAUCGUAAAGUUCUGUCCUAUGGGAAGAUAAUGACAGUACCAUAGAAGAAAGCUCCGGCUAAAUACGUGCCAGCAGCCGCGGUAAUACGUAUGGAGCGAGCGUUGUCCGGAAUUAUUGGGCGUAAAGGGUACGCAGGCGGUUUAAUAAGUCGAAUGUUAAAGAUCGGGGCUCAACCCCGCAAAGCAUUGGAAACUGAUAAACUUGAGUAGUGGAGAGGAAAGUGGAAUUCCUAGUGUAGUGGUGAAAUACGUAGAUAUUAGGAGGAAUACCAGUAGCGAAGGCGACUUUCUGGACACAAACUGACGCUUAGGUACGAAAGCGUGGGGAGCAAACAGG
rnacentral:rRNA from 1 species